rnacentral:tRNA from 1 species
CCUCGACUAGAUCAGUGGCAGAUCAUCCGCAUGACAGGCGGAAGGCCGGUGGUUCGAUCCCACCGUCGAGGACCA